AGAAACAAAAAAAAAACAAAAACUUAUUCAACAUUAAUUAAUUAAAAGAGAAAAAAACUAUGCCUUAAAAACAUAUCUGUCAAAAGACUAUUUGUGACGGCACGUUUCACGUUAAGAAACAACUUUGAACAAACUAAUGUUAAUAAUGGAUUUUAUUUAUUUAUUCGUUUCUGUUUUUUUUUCGCGUCAGCAUUAGUUCAUAAUUUAUUUGAUUACAUUUGAAUUGAAUUGAAUUGAAUCGUAUAACGAAUAACGUUAUAAAUCUUCAUUAAACUGGUUUUCAUCAAGUAAUAAUAAUAAUAAUAAUAACAAUAAUAAUAUUAAAUAAAAAAAAAACAAUAAAUAAAAAAAAAAAAUAAAUAAAUAAAAAAGCGAAAAAGUCUUCCAUUUUCCCAAGUGCCUUACCUACCUCUCGCUUCAGCAUAAAUAAUAUCCACAAAAAAAAAAAAAAAAAAAA